UGCAAGUCGAACGGCAGCACGGGGGCAACCCUGGUGGCGAGUGGCGAACGGGUGAGUAAUACAUCGGAACGUGUCCUGUAGUGGGGGAUAGCCCGGCGAAAGCCGGAUUAAUACCGCAUACGCUCUACGGAGGAAAGGGGGGGAUCUUAGGACCUCUCGCUACAGGGGCAGCCGAUGGCAGAUUAGCUAGUUGGUGGGGUAAAGGCCAACCAAGGCGACGAUCUGUAGCUGGUCUGAGAGGACGACCAGCCACACUGGGACUGAGACACGGCCCAGACUCCUACGGGAGGCAGCAGUGGGGAAUUUUGGACAAUGGGCGCAAGCCUGAUCCAGCAAUGCCGCGUGUGUGAAGAAGGCCUUCGGGUUGUAAAGCACUUUUGUCCGGAAAGAAAACGCUCUGGUUAAUACCCGGGGCGAUGACGGUACCGGAAGAAUAAGCACCGGCUAACUACGUGCCAGCAGCCGCGGUAAUACGUAGGGUGCAGGCGUUAAUCGGAAUUACUGGGCGUAAAGCGUGCGCAGGCGGUCCGCUAAGACAGAUGUGAAAUCCCCGGGCUUAACCUGGGAACUGCAUUUGUGACUGUAGAGCUGGAGUGCGGCAGAGGGGGAUGGAAUUCCGCGUGUAGCAGUGAAAUGCGUAGAUAUGCGGAGGAACACCGAUGGCGAAGCAAUCCCCUGGGCCUGCACUGACGCUCAUGCAC
rnacentral:rRNA from 1 species